ACCUUUUGAACUAUUAUAUGGAAAGAGUAUUACUGGCGCACUUUAUGGAGAUCACAGACGUGCAAAGCAAGUACCUGAGCUUGUCAACAAAUACAUGAGAGGGGAAAUCUUAAUUGAUGAGUUUAUUACCCACACUAUGCCUUUGGAUAGGAUAAUGGAAGCUUUUGACCUCCAGAGAGAUGGAAAGAGUCUCAGAUCCGUGGUAACCAUGUAGAAACAGUUUACAAAAUGAUGCUGUGACUUUAUAAUCAACUUAUAUACACUGACGUAGACGAUGUAUUACCGAUUUCAUAUAUAUGUGUUGAGUUAGAAUUAGCAAAACAACUUGUUGUGCAGCUCAAAUUCAUUUUCAUUAUCGAAAAUUACUCUUUGCAUACUAGUUUUGGAUUGAUCUCAAAGUGUUACAUGUUAUAAGAAACUACCGGGUAGUUGUUUUCUUUGACUCAAUUUACUUUUGACUCAUGGUUUGCAAGAAUUAUAAUCUUUACAGGAGUUAAUCAAAGAGUCAAAAUUAAAGCUUUAUAUGUAGCAUUGUAAACUUUAUACUAGUAUAAUGUUAUAUAUUCGUAUAUUAUACAUGCUUUAUUUGUAAUAAAGUUAAAAGUUGUGUA